rnacentral:rRNA from 1 species
AUUCCAGCUCCAAUAGCGUAUAUUAAAGUUGUUGCGGUUAAAAAGCUCGUAGUUGGAUUUCUGUUGAGGAAGUCCGGUCCGCACUUUGUGCGUGAUCUGGUUCUGCCUCGGCAUCCUCGCGGGGAACGCGCUGCGCUUGAUUGCGUGGUGCGGUAUUCGCGACUUUUACUUUGAGGAAAUUAGAGUGUUCACGGCAGGCUAUCGCCUUGAAUACGUUAGCAUGGAAUAAUAAUAUAGGACCUUGGUUCUAUUUUGUUGGUUUCUAGAACUAAGGUAAUGAUUAAUAGGGAUAAUUGGGGGCAUUUGUAUUAACACGUCAGAGGUGAAAUUCUUGGAUUGUGUUACGACAAACUACUGCGAAAGCAUUUGCCAAGGAUGUUUUCAUUA